CAUGUGCAUUUUGGUAAGACCAUGUCCUGGCCUAAGUAGGUCAGCAGUGGCAUGGCCUGGCAGGCUUCGUUUCCUCAAGCUCCUUAGCAAACAGCCCAGUGUGCCACUAUGUUUUCACUUAGCGUGGUGUACUUCCACUUGAGGGUGGUCAGCUCACUCCAAACAGAUGUGGCCCCUGCACGAUGAAGUUUUGCCCCAUCCACAUGCUUUCUGUAAGAAUCAUACAAGCUAAGAACAUCAAGUCAAGAGACCUGUGGACAGUUCCACUUUCGUGCCAAAACCUUGCGGGGCAAUGUUAUUCACUGCUUGAUACCAGUCUGAAGUAUUUAGGCAUCUCGGGCUGCAGUAGACUAUAACAUCCUAACAGCCCUUUGUGGAGCCAGCUGUAGUUUCAGUUUAACUUUUUAACAUUGUUGACUGGAAUUGUAAGGACUAUGCCUGAGGAAUGGUCGGACUUUCCUCUUUCUCUUCACAUGGCGCUCCUAGCGUACUUUGCCUGUGCAUGUGUACAUUUGCAGUUUGUAGUUACUCAGGAAUUAGAUGGUUUUCCUUGACUAGCCCUACUGUUCAUCUAUAAUAUUGCCAUCAGGUUUUUAAUUUUUCUCUGCUGCAGUGACUGCAUCAGUUGGCUCAACUGUGCUAAAUAACUUAAGAAAAGCUUGCUUAACAGACUGGUUUGCACAGAACAGUGGACAUAAGAAAUAGGUUUUUCUCAGUGAUUUACAGACAUUGGUGAUGUAAAUGCCUGUAUCUAAGGGCUCCCUUUGUAUUGGAAAUUUAUAAUUGUACGAGCUCUGUUCUUUGGGUGGGUAGUGGGUGCAGAGCACUGGCAUAUUUUCUUUCUUGGGAAUGUUCUACUAGCGCUCUUGAAGGAAAAGACAUUAUUCUUACUGCUCUGCUGUGAAACAGUUGCAAAAAUCUAUAAUAAUGGAUGACAUGCAGUUCACAGUUCUUUUUAAUGUUGCUAGAAUCAGACCUGGGGAGACAGUCCGUGAGACAUUUGCUUUGAAAUCAGAGGAAGGGCUGAAAUUUUUUUUGUGACUUCAUGAAUCUCUUUUUACAAAUUCAGAAAAUGAAGCAGCUUCUCCCUCAUGC
rnacentral:lncRNA from 1 species